UACGGAGGAUGCAAGCGUUAUCCGGAUUUAUUGGGUUUAAAGGGUGCGCAGGUUGUUUGAUAAGUCAGUGGUGAAAGUCUGUCGCUUAACGGUAGGAUUGCCAUUGAUACUGUUGGACUUGAAUAUGGAUGAGGUAGGCGGAAUGUGUAGUGUAGCGGUGAAAUGCUUAGAUAUUACACAGAACACCGAUUGCGAAGGCAGCUUACUGGGCCAUUACUGACGCUGAUGCACGAAAGCGUGGGGAUCGAACAGGA
rnacentral:rRNA from 1 species